AUUGAACGCUGGCGGCAGGCCUAACACAUGCAAGUCGAACGGUAACAGGAAGAAGCUUGCUUCUUUGCUGACGAGUGGCGGACGGGUGAGUAAUGUCUGGGAAACUGCCUGAUGGAGGGGGAUAACUACUGGAAACGGUAGCUAAUACCGCAUAACGUCGCAAGAACAAAGAGGGGGACCUUCGUGCCUCUUGCCAUGGGAUGUGCCCAGAUGGGAUUAGCUAGUAGGUGGGGUAACGGCUCACCUAGGCGACGAUCCCUAGCUGGUCUGAGAGGAUGACCAGCCACACUGGAACUGAGCCACGGUCCAGACUCCUACGGGAGGCAGCAGUGGGGAAUAUUGCACAAUGGGCGCAAGCCUGAUGCAGCCAUGCCGCGUGUAUGACGAAGGCCUUCGGGUUGUAAAGUACUUUCAGCGGGGAGGAAGGGAGUAAAGUUAAUACCUUGGCUCAUUGACGUUACCCGCAGAAGAAGCACCGGCUAACUCCGUG
rnacentral:rRNA from 1 species